AUGUACAUAUACAAUGAAGCUUUAAAAAGCAUUGAUCUGAAACAAGCCUUCAUGCUGAAACUGUCUACACUGCACGAACCCUGUGGAAAGGAAGGCGGAAAAAUAUCAGGGCUUCUAAUCUCUGAAGACCCACCACCAGGAGCCCCGGGCUACCAUCAUUCCACUUCCUGCCAUCCAGCAGAUGAGAAAGUAGGAAGGGUUCCCCAAGAAUGGUUUUCCGUAUCAACAGCCUUCAGCGUGAGAUGCACUGAGCCUUUCUCAUCUAGUCCCACGGAAGUUGAUUCUUCUCACCUGAUGAAGCGUUUUCAUUCUUGGCUAAACAUUUUAAGAAAGCCAGGCAUAGUCACGUGGGUAUCCUAGUGUAAUAAAUGCAAUGAAAAUCAAUAGGGAGCUGCA
rnacentral:lncRNA from 13 species